rnacentral:tRNA from 1 species
GGCUGGCUGGCUCAGUCGGUAGAAUAUGAGACUCUUGAUCUCAGCGCUGUAAGUUCAAGUCCCACGUUGGCCG